GACGAACGCUGGCGGCGUGCCUAAUACAUGCAAGUUGAGCGCUGAAGGUUGGUCCUUGUACCAACUGGAUGAGCAGCGAACGGGUGAGUAACGCGUGGGGAAUCUGCCUUUGAGCGGGGGACAACAUUUGGAAACGAAUGCUAAUACCGCAUAAAAACUUUAAACACACGUUUUAAGUUUGAAAGAUGCAAUUGCAUCACUCAAAGAUGAUCCCGCGUUGUAUUAGCUAGUUGGUGAGGUAAAGGCUCACCAAGGCGAUGAUACAUAGCCGACCUGAGAGGGUGGUCGGCCACAGUGGGACUGAGACACGGCCCAAACUCCUACGGGAGGCAGCAGUAGGGAAUCUUCGGCAAUGGACGAAAGUCUGACCGAGGAACGCCGCGUGAGUGAAGAAGGUUGUCGGAUCGUAAAACUCUGUUGGUAGAGAAGAACGUUGGUGAGAGUGGAAAGCUCAUCAAGUGACGGUAACUACCCAGAAAGGGACGGCUAACUACGUG
rnacentral:rRNA from 1 species